ACGGGUGAGUAACACGUGACCAACCUGCCCCGCGCACCGGGACAGCCUCGCGAAAGCGGGAUUAAUACCGGAUGAACCGGCAGGGCCGCAUGGCCCGGCCGGCAAAGCUCCGGCGGCGCGGGAUGGGGUCGCGGCCCAUCAGGUAGUAGGUCGGGUAGAGGCCGACCUAGCCGACGACGGGUAGCCGGGUUGAGAGACCGACCGGCCACAUUGGGACUGAGAUACGGCCCAGACUCCUACGGGAGGCAGCAGUGGGGAAUAUUGCGCAAUGGGGGCAACCCUGACGCAGCAACGCCGCGUGCGGGAUGACGGCCUUCGGGUUGUAAACCGCUUUCAGCAGGGAAGACAUCGACGGUACCUGCAGAAGAAGCCCCGGCUAACUACGUGCCAGCAGCCGCGGUAACACGUAGGGGGCGAGCGUUAUCCGGAUUCAUUGGGCGUAAAGCGCGCGCAGGCGGCCCGCCAAGCGGGACCUCUAACCCCGGGGCUCAACCCCGGGCCGGGUCCCGAACUGGCGGGCUCGCUCCAGGUAGGGGCAGGCGGAAUUCCCGGUGUAGCGGUGGAAUGCGCAGAUAUCGGGAAGAACACCGACGGCGAAGGCAGCCUGCUGGGCCUGUGAGGACGCUGAGGCGCGAAAGCCGGGGGAGCGAACAGGAUUAGAUACCCUGGUAGUCCCGGCCGUAAACGAUGCUAGCUAGGUGUGGGGGGAUCAUCCCCCCGUGCCGCAGCCAACGCAUUAAGCUAGCCGCCUGGGGAGUACGGCCGCAAGGCUAAAACUCAAAGGAAUUGACGG
rnacentral:rRNA from 1 species